rnacentral:rRNA from 1 species
UACAGAGGGUGCAAGCGUUAAUCGGAUUUACUGGGCGUAAAGCGUGCGUAGGCGGUUCAUUAAGUCGGUUGUGAAAUCCCUGGGCUUAACCUGGGAACUGCAGUCGAUACUGAUGGACUAGAGUACGGUAGAGGGUGGCGGAACUCCGGGUGUAGCGGUGAAAUGCGUAGAUAUCCGGAGGAACACCGAAGGCGAAGGCAGUGUCCUGGGGAGUACCUGACGCUCAGGUGCGAAAGCUAGGGGAGCGAACGGG